rnacentral:rRNA from 1 species
GUGUCAGCAGCCGCGGUAAGACGAACCGUGCGAACGUUGUUCGGAUUCACUGGGCUUAAAGGGCGCGUAGGCGGGCGGGCAAGUCCGGGGUGAAAGCGUAUGGCUCAACCAUACAAGGGCCCUGGAUACUGCCGGCCUCGAGGGAGGUAGGGGCGCGCGGAACUUCCGGUGGAGCGGUGAAAUGCGUAGAUAUCGGAAGGAACACCGGUGGCGAAAGCGGCGCGCUGGGCCUCUUCUGACGCUGAGGCGCGAAAGCCAGGGGAGCAAACGGGAUUAGAUACCCCCGUAGUCC